CCUACGGGUGGCAGCAGUGAGGAAUAUUGGUCAAUGGACGAGAGUCUGAACCAGCCAAGUAGCGUGAAGGAUGACUGCCCUAUGGGUUGUAAACUUCUUUUAUAUGGGAAUAAAAUGUUCCACGUGUGGGAUUUUGUAUGUACCCUAUGAAUAAGGAUCGGCUAACUCCGUGCCAGCAGCCGCGGUAAUACGGAGGAUCCGAGCGUUAUCUGGAUUUAUUGGGUUUAAAGGGGGCGUAGGUGGAUUGUUAAGUCAGUUGUGAAAGUUUGCGGCUCAACCGUAAAAUUGCAGUUGAAACUGGCAGUCUUGAGUACAGUAGAGGUGGGCGGAAUGCGUGGUGUAGCGGUGAAAUGCUUAGAUAUCACGAAGAACUCCGAUUGCGAAGGCAGUUCACUGGACUGCAACUGACACUGAGGCUCGAAAGUGUGGGUAUCAAACAGGAUUAGAUACCCUUGUAGUC
rnacentral:rRNA from 1 species